GACGAACGCUGGCGGCGUGCUUAACACAUGCAAGUCGAACGGAAAGGCUCCAGCUUGCUGGAGUACUCGAGUGGCGAACGGGUGAGUAACACGUGGGUAAUCUGCCCUGCACUCUGGGAUAAGCCUGGGAAACUGGGUCCAAUACUGGAUAUGACCUUUCUCCUUAUGGGGUUUGGUGGAAAGUUUUUCGGUGUAGGAUGAGCCCGCGGCCUAUCAGCUUGUUGGUGGGGUGAUGGCCUACCAAGGCGACGACGGGUAGCCGGCCUGAGAGGGUGAUCGGCCACAUUGGGACUGAGAUACGGCCCAGACUCCUACGGGAGGCAGCAGUGGGGAAUAUUGCACAAUGGGCGGAAGCCUGAUGCAGCGACGCCGCGUGAGGGAUGACGGCCUUCGGGUUGUAAACCUCUUUCAGCAGGGACGAAGCGUAAGUGACGGUACCUGCAGAAGAAGCACCGGCUAACUAUGUG
rnacentral:rRNA from 1 species